GCGACCUCAGCUCAGGCGGGGCCACCCGCUGAGUUUAAGCAUAUCAAUAAGCGGAGGAAAAGAAACUAACCAGGAUUCCCCUA
rnacentral:rRNA from 1 species